GACGAACGCUGGCGGCGUGCUUAACACAUGCAAGUCGAACGGAAAGGCCCUGCUUUGGUGGGGUGCUCGAGUGGCGAACGGGUGAGUAACACGUGAGUAACCUGCCCUUGACUUUGGGAUAACUUCAGGAAACUGGGGCUAAUACCGGAUAGGAGCUCCUGCUGCAUGGUGGGGGUUGGAAAGUUUCGGCGGUUGGGGAUGGACUCGCGGCUUAUCAGCUUGUUGGUGGGGUAGUGGCUUACCAAGGCUUUGACGGGUAGCCGGCCUGAGAGGGUGACCGGCCACAUUGGGACUGAGAUACGGCCCAGACUCCUACGGGAGGAAGCAGUGGGGAAUAUUGCACAAUGGGCGGAAGCCUGAUGCAGCAACGCCGCGUGCGGGAUGACGGCAUUCGGGUUGUAAACCGCUUUCGCCUGUGACGAAGCGUGAGUGACGGUAAUGGGUAAAGAAGCACCGGCUAACUACGUG
rnacentral:rRNA from 1 species